UUCGCAGUAAAUUACUGCGAAUUACAUUUUUUAUAACUAAUUCGCAGUAAUUUACUGUGAA
rnacentral:pre_miRNA from 1 species